UGUCCAGAAUCGUGCCUUCUCUCUCCCUCCAUCCUUUUAAGAAAUGAAUGGCACCUGUCUUCUUGGAACUUCUGAUUUACUGCAGCAUCAACAGUGGAACAUUUAUUUACCAAAGAAAAAUAGUCUUCAUGCUCCUUUUGACCAUGUCACCCACAGGCACUGCCACCAGCCGCCCCAAGCCCGUUCUGAAGCGGCAAAACAUUCUGCAGGCACAGCAGUGCUCUGUGACCCUCCAAGUGCUUGUUCAGCUGAAAUUACUUGUGUCUGGCACAGACCUUCUCUUUUGAUUUUGGCAGAACUUCAGGGAGUGAAAAAGCUGGGUGAGUGUUAGGGCUGGGAUUAGAAUUUGAGACUCAACAGAUCAUACUGUUAACACUUCUCCUCUUUGCUAACUUGAUGAAGUUCAAGAAAAGCUUUCUGGGGAACGACACCAAUUCAUUUGCCAGAAGCUGAGAUGGGCCAAGGACGAUGUAGUCAGCAUUUGGAAUCUCCUUGCCUUAGAAGCUAACAGCCAAGGAGGGAAGAAGGAUGCUGGGGAGCUAGGAGCCGGUGGUGGGGAGCUGAGGGCUUGGAAGGAUUUGGGAUGCUGAACAGGCUUGGCUCCUGUACUCCCACCCCCAUAACAUCUCUUAAGCCAUCCCUACCUUUCCUUCUCUAGCGCAGCGCCUGACCUGGCCCUCAUCAUCCUUAGCGACAAUAGCAAUACUUUCUAAUACACCUCCUCACCCUAAACAUGGCUGCUAGUUUUCAUUCUUCGGCUUAAUAACCCUCAAGGCUCUUCAGUGCUUAUCAAACAAAAGCCUCACCUUUCGGUGAGUGCUCAAGGCCUCCCUCCCCCCAAGCAGGCUGCAAACUACCAUCUGUCCUCAUGUCACCCCUCAUCCUCCACCAAGCCUCUGACACCAGCCGGGGAGACAUGUGCUCGCCCACCCACUUGCCAGUGCAUUCCAGCCUUCCAGCCUUUGAGCCUUUGCCCAGGCUGGUCCCUCUGCCUGGACUGCUCUACGCUAGUUCCCAUCUUCGCCUGGAUUCAUCCUCAGUCUCUAGGGCCCAGUUCAGGGAUGGCUCCUUCUGCGAAGCCUUCGUCAGCUCCUCUGGGCAGAGCUGGUGCCACCUCGUUUCUACUCCAAGGGACUGUGUACUGCACGUGUUCGUGUGUGCCACUAGGUGACCUUGGGGAUAGGAUAAGCCUUAUUUAUGUCUCCCUGAUCCCUACCUAGUGCCUUGGUUGGUGUAUGCUACUUUAUUUGAAUUUUUGAAAGCUGGAAGGACAAACUCCCACAAUGCCAGGGAGGAGCCAGAGUAGUAGACUGAGUUGUUGCUGUAUCAGGCUCGCUGAUUCUGCCUUCCCUUCUCUCCAGAGAGGUGCAGCGGACGGGGUAAACAUCUUCUACUUUACCCUGGGCAACUGCUCCCUGAGAUGUAGCUCUGAGAAAGUGUCCCAACCAGCAGGUACCUCAGCCCAUCUAAGCUGAUGGAAGUAAUCCCCAUUAUGUGGCAGACCCUGUCUUGGACUCUGGGGACAUGCAUAUGACUGUGACUCUGUCCCUGCCAUGGAGGCCCUCAAAGAUAGUGGGGAAAAGACAUACACAUAAUUUUAAGACAAGGCGGAAGCUUGAUGGGGCACUCAGUCCAGCCUGGGAACAUCAGGGUAAACUUUUUCAAGGAGAUGAUAACCUGAACAAACAAUAAAGAAUGUAUAGGAGCUAGCCAGGCAAAGAUGGUGAGGCUAAACAACACAGCCUCAAGCUACCAAUGAGCAUUCAGGACUGAAAGAUUAUUGAUGGGGUGGGGGGAGGGGGUGAGAUGAAGAAAAAGAGAGAGAUGGAUAGAGAGGAUGAUGGCGUUUGAGCUGAACAUUGAAGGCUGAGAGCUCUGAAUAGGAUAGAGGUCAGAGGACAAUCUGGGCAGAGGAACAGUUUGGGCAAAGGCAUGGGGCAGUGAUACAACUUGCUCCAAGGGGGUCAACUCCAAGACGGUUAUCACUGGGGUCUGGAUCAUGGGGAUAUGGGGAGAGAUGGGCUGAAGAGAGACAAGGAUCCAGGUCACAAGAGGGUCUAAAAGGUGAGACUAGUAUAUCCUGAUGAUCUCCUGCUAACAAGUAGGGUCUGCAGAGCUGGGACACAGGGGGCCUUGGGCUCAGUCCACACUAAUAUCAACUAGCAAAACUGCAGCAGGUUCAUCAGUUCUGCUCUCAUCCUCUCAGUUCCUAUUGGUAUGGUUAAGCUUGCCCAUCUCCUAGCAGUAGAGGUAGUAAUUAAAGCAACCCAGGGCCCCAGGGUGCUAAGAUGCUGAGGACAAAGCAUGCUGUUCUGCGCUCUGGAAGACAGUCACCUCAAGGUCAGGCCCCUGAAAGAAGAAGCUGAGUGCUCCUUUCUAGGCUAAUGUGUUUUUAGAAAGUUAAGUUCUGCAGGUGCUGGGCAUUUUAGGUGGGUGAGGACAUAUUGAAAAUCAAGAGGCCCCUAGUCUCCUGCAAACAGGCUGCAGGAGUCUUAGGUCAGAGCCCAAAGGAGAAGGCUGUGAGAUUCCUUGGUGUCCAAGAGAGAUCAAGCUUGUCCCAGUAAUUCUCUCUGCUCUGAGCUUCAGGCUCUGUCAGAAUGCAGCUCCGCUGGAAAGUGGGAAUCCUGAUGGGAAUCCUGGGAAACAACAGGAGUCUGGCUAAAUGGAAAAAACUACUUUCUUUAGGUGCAUGGCCAUCCUCGUGUCCUCAACCUCAAGUUUAACAUUUGGCCCUCGUGCAAAUUAUAUAAGCAGGGUCUCUUAGCUGCAAAAUAAACAGCUCUGUGUAAACGUCUGCAUUUCAGGGUCUACUUUGGGUGGGAGUGGGGCAGUGAGGUGGGUGAAACUGGCCUCUACAGUUCCUCCAACUGGAACCUACAAGUUGACCUCUUAGUCAUAACCCACAUUGCUGCUUCCCUUGGGACAAAAACCUGCACAUCUCUGCUGAUGACUCAGGAGGUUCUUGGCCUUGCAUUGGUACCUGCUCAGGGAAGAGAGAGAGGCUCACGUAGCUAUGCUGAGCUCUGGGAUUCUAUCAGAAGUGCUUAUGAAGGCAGCCUGAAGCCCAUCUGAGAAACUCUGCUUCGAUACCUACUGUAUGCCAGGCACUAAUGUGGCUACCAGGGCCACCGCUGCAGACCAGAGCCACUUUCCGCUCUCACAUGAUCUAACUGCAGCAGGAAGAGUGGGAAGAGGACUUAUGAGUUAGGACACUUCUGUUUAUAAGUGGUAAAAAUUCUGCUUCCAUACAGCUUAAGCAAAGACAGUAGGCACAACAGGGGCCAGGGGCUCAGGGGCCAGUUUUUCUCUUUCUGGGUUGACUCUCAGGUAGGCUUUACCCUUGUGGUUGCCAGAUGGUUCCUAGCAGCUCCUGGGGCUACCAAUCUGGCUCCUCUCUAAUAGGAAAUAGAAGAAGUUUCUUUACUAGGAUUAUGAGCAAAAGCCUCAUGAUGCAUCACUGGCUGAAACAGGAAACAUGCUCGUUUCUCAACCCAUCAUAGGUAGGGGAGAAGAAAUGGCAUGCUGAUGAGCUUUGGUCUAGGUUAUCUGCUCCAUCUUCUGAGGCAAGGGUAGGACCCCAGCCGAAGCCAUAGGCUUGUAAUUUGCAGAGGGGGAUAGGGUUAUGGUUAUUUUAAGGGCGAAUGGAAACUGCUGACAAAAAAUGAGGUACUCCAAGGUAGACUAAGAUAACAGCUAGGGCUCUGAUUAGAAUGAACAGCAACCCAAGGCAAGCAAAGCAAAAAGCAAACCCAAAACCAAACCUAAUAACAAUUGGAAGUAUAUUGCGGUGGGUGGACGGUCGCAGGAUCAAAAGAAGAAUUGAACAACAAAUUUCCAGAAGGAUAAUUCCUGGGUUCUUUGGAGAUCUUUGUGUCAUGACUCCAUGACACAGCCUGAGUCUCUGCUGGUUAUACUCACCGCCUUUGCCUAAUUCCUUGUAUUACAUCCUUUAAUGUUCUACCCCAAUGAUUCGUCUAUUCCAAUCAUGAUAUUCCAAGUAGUAAGGGCAGAGUGAUGGAAAAAACCCAGGUCUUUGAUGAAAUUGUUCAUUAGUUGUAACCGCCAGUCCUAGGGCCCACCUUAUCUAAGGUUGUGUGAGACAAUUUAAAAAAAAAUUAUUUUGUUCAUAGUUUGAGUUCAAUGUCCACUACAUUCAUCUAAAAGUAUCCAAAUUACUACAGGCUCAGACAAACACCUUUGGGACUCUGUAUUUCAUCUGGGUUUUUCUCUAAGGCUGGCUAUAUUCCAUUCCAGGAAGGUUCCACACAUACAUCUUAACGGUUCCAUGUUUGAAAAAUAAUAGGGGAGGGUUCCAGUUGGUCUGGCAUGAACAGCUGGUCUGCCCUUUGGACCAGCUAUGUGCCAGGGACAUGAUAUAGUGUGAACGGUACAGCUUGGGUGAAUAGUCUCUAGUCUUGGAUUAAUUAACAUUGUGCAGAGGCUGAGGCAGGAAUAGAAGAGACAUGGCUCCUGGGGGUGGGUAUCCUGUUGUAUCUGCCUCUGCUCCUACAAUGUUUCUCAAAGUGUAGGUCCCCACAAUAGCAGUAUGUGCAUCCCAGGGAAAUUGUCAUAAAUGCAAAAGCUUAGACUUCACACAGAUUUCCUGAAUCAGAAACUUGGGGUGGGGCCCAGCAAUGAACACCAGGUGUUCUUUAUGUACACAAAGAUUUGAGAAUUACUGGGCCACAGUCAUGAUCAACUAAAACCAAUGCAAUGGUGGUUCAAAGAAGAAGCAAUAAUGUCUAAUUAGAAGAUGGGGGAAGCCUUAAUAGGAAGUCUUUUGAGAUCAAUUUUGAAGAUUGAUUAGAUUGCUUGAAAUGAAUAUAAGUUCAUGUAUAAUUCUGUAACUACAAUAAAAAUUUUUAAAAAUCCUGGGGUUCUUGUGUGGCUUGGUGGUAAUGAACCCGACUAGUAUCCAUGAGGAUGUGGGUUCAAUCCCUGGCUCUGCUCAGUGGGUUAAGGAUCCAAGGUUGCUGUGAAUUUUGGUGUAGGUCACAGACAAGUCUUGGAUAUGGAGUUGCUGUGGCUCUGGCAUAGGCUGGCAGCUGCAGCUCUGAUUUGACUCCUAGCUUGGGAACUUCCAUACGCUGUGGAUGUGACCCU
rnacentral:lncRNA from 1 species